ACGAGCUCAACCGCGCAAUGAGGAGCUGCGGCGACGUGCACCGCGACAACGACCGGCUCGGCGCCGAGAAGGCCGAGCUGGAGGCCAGGCUCCAGCAGCUCAUGCAACAAGCACAACACAACAGCAACCCUUAACUAGCUACGUACGUAUAUACUACGAAUAUGUUCACCCGGGAAAGAAAGAAGAAUUAUCAUAAAAGACACAGACAAUUGGAAGCAGUAUCCUGCGUAACACCAAAUACAACUGUGUUCCAUAAUGCAGAAGAGAAUACAAGUAGUUACAUGUCCCUCGGUCACAUUUUCUUCCACAUGAUACUCGUCGACAAAGACAACACACACCAGAUGUUUUACAUGCACUAACACAUCGAAACUGGACACCAGAUUAAUCAACGACAGCAGAUUAAGCGAGAUGGCUGAAAUCAACAUGGCACAAAACAGUUCUUAUCAUUCAGGCACGUCAUUCUUAGGAGGGUUGCUGCAGGUGCUACUCCUGUGUCCUCUAAAACCACAUGUCGAGCAGCGAGUAUACUUUCUAGGCACGGCUUAAAAUUUCAGGAGACACUUUGUGUUAAUCUCCUAUUUGGGAUUGUCUCAUCAUGCGGCACCAUGUCCAAAAAAUUCACUUCCUACUACUACUGCAUAUUACUGUCAUCUUUUUUGGCAAAGUGCCGGUGGCUAGAUGAAUAUGGAUUGGGUGUUACUGACGAGUUUCCAUCAAUGGACUAUUGGUCUGUACUUGCAGCAAAGAUGUAUUCCCAUGAAAAAAGGGGACCUGAUUGUUUGGAUUAAUUCAUGUUAACUUGAAUUUGAUCCCCAAAGAAUUCAGUGACUGUGUGUCUGAGAGUCUGAGACAAACCAGACCCUUGUACAUCAUAAUCAGAAUCAACAUAUACUACCAACGUGCACAUCAUAAUCAGAAUUGGAGUUCCAUACACAAAGUCUGUGAAGAGACUGAACUCACCAAGGUAGUAAUGGUAGAAAACUGGAUUGAAAUACUUAGCGCAUCCGCACCUGACUCGCCAGCAGUUGUUAUAAGCAACCCAAUCUAUCUGAAGACUCUCCAAAAUUCUAAAUCAAUAACAGAUGACAAGUAUCAAACACUUGGCGUGCACGGUCAAAUUCAAUCAGGAAGAGAGUAAUUCGGAAGCAUAGAAGGGACAGAUCUGGACCAAAAAGGGAGGAGGAGGCAAAAUCUUCAAGUCGAUUACUAGUAUUUACCUUCUGCUUCUAUGAAUCGGGUGUGGGAGUUGAUCUGCUUGCCACCUUGCCGUCCCAGUUGCUGAACAAGAUGCCUCUUGUGCCCCUCAACAACAAUGGUGGAAUCAGUUGGGCGAGCUAUGAUACUCGGGAGGGAGGAAAGGCCAUGAUUAAUCUGCUGGAGAAUGGAUCCUUCGUACAAGUGGAGGAAGGGAACUGCCUUUUGAUAUGGGGAGGGGAGGAGGACGUUUCCGAUUUUGCUGGCGUGGUUACCUCUUCGCGAGAGCUGAUGU
rnacentral:lncRNA from 1 species